rnacentral:rRNA from 1 species
UAAUUGGGCGUUAAGUUGCAGGGUAUAGACCCGAAACCCGGUGAUCUAGCCAUGGGCAGGUUGAAGGUUGGGUAACACUAACUGGAGGACCGAACCGACUAAUGUUGAAAAAUUAGCGGAUGACCUGUGGCUGGGGGUGAAAGGCCAAUCAAACCGGGAGAUAGCUGGUUCUCCCCGAAAGCUAUUUAGGUAGCGCCUCGUGAAUUCAUCUCCGGGGGUAGAGCACUGUUUCGGCUAGGGGGUCAUCCCGACUUACCAACCCGAUGCAAACUACGAAUACCGGAGAAUGUUAUCACGGGAGACACACGGCGGGUGCUAACGUCCGUCGUGAAGAGGGAAACAACCCAGACCGCCAGCUAAGGUCCCAAAGUCAUGGUUAAGUGGGAAACGAUGUGGGAAGGCCCAGACAGCCAGGAUGUUGGCUUAGAAGCAGCCAUCAUUUAAAGAAAGCGUAAUAGCUCACUGGUCGAGUCGGCCUGCGCGGAAGAUGUAACGGGGCUAAACCAUGCACCGAAGCUGCGGCAGCGAACGUAUCACUUAAAGCGAUUCAGCGGGUUACGAUUGACGGAGCGAAGCGACGUCAAAGCGUAUACAAAGUCGAGUCGGUUUAAGGAUACGUUCGUUGGGUAGGGGAGCGUUCUGUAAGCCUGCGAAGGUGGCCUGUGAGGGUUGCUGGAGGUAUCAGAAGUGCGAAUGCUGACAUAAGUAACGAUAAAGCGGGUGAAAAGCCCGCUCGCCGGAAGACCAAGGGUUCCUGUCCAACGUUAAUCGGGGCAGGGUGAGUCGACCCCUAAGGCGAGGCCGAAAGGCGUAGUCGAUGGGAAACGGGUUAAUAUUCCCGUACUUGGUGUUACUGCGAAGGGGGGACGGAGAAGGCUAUGUUGGCCGGGCGACGGUUGUCCCGGUUUAAGCGUGUAGGUGUGUGUUCCAGGUAAAUCCGGUUCACUUUAACACUGAGGCGUGACGACGAGGCACUACGGUGCUGAAGCAACAAAUGCCCUGCUUCCAGGAAAAGCCUCUAAGCAUCAGGUAACAUCAAAUCGUACCCCAAACCGACACAGGUGGUCAGGUAGAGAAUACCAAGGCGCUUGAGAGAACUCGGGUGAAGGAACUAGGCAAAAUGGUGCCGUAACUUCGGGAGAAGGCACGCUGACAUGUAGGUGAAGUGAUUUACUCAUGGAGCUGAAGUCAGUCGAAGAUACCAGCUGGCUGCAACUGUUUAUUAAAAACACAGCACUGUGCAAACACGAAAGUGGACGUAUACGGUGUGACGCCUGCCCGGUGCCGGAAGGUUAAUUGAUGGGGUCAGCGCAAGCGAAGCUCCUGAUCGAAGCCCCGGUAAACGGCGGCCGUAACUAUAACGGUCCUAAGGUAGCGAAAUUCCUUGUCGGGUAAGUUCCGACCUGCACGAAUGGCGUAAUGAUGGCCAGGCUGUCUCCACCCGAGACUCAGUGAAAUUGAACUCGCUGUGAAGAUGCAGUGUACCCGCGGCAAGACGGAAAGACCCCGUGAACCUUUACUAUAGCUUGACACUGAACAUUGAGCCUUGAUGUGUAGGAUAGGUGGGAGGCUUUGAAGUGUGGACGCCAGUCUGCAUGGAGCCGACCUUGAAAUACCACCCUUUAAUGUUUGAUGUUCUAACGUGGACCCGUAAUCCGGGUUGCGGACAGUGUCUGGUGGGUAGUUUGACUGGGGCGGUCUCCUCCUAAAGAGUAACGGAGGAGCACGAAGGUUGGCUAAUCCUGGUCGGACAUCAGGAGGUUAGUGCAAUGGCAUAAGCCAGCUUGACUGCGAGCGUGACGGCGCGAGCAGGUGCGAAAGCAGGUCAUAGUGAUCCGGUGGUUCUGAAUGGAAGGGCCAUCGCUCAACGGAUAAAAGGUACUCCGGGGAUAACAGGCUGAUACCGCCCAAGAGUUCAUAUCGACGGCGGUGUUUGGCACCUCGAUGUCGGCUCAUCACAUCCUGGGGCUGAAGUAGGUCCCAAGGGUAUGGCUGUUCGCCAUUUAAAGUGGUACGCGAGCUGGGUUUAGAACGUCGUGAGACAGUUCGGUCCCUAUCUGCCGUGGGCGCUGGAGAACUGAGGGGGGCUGCUCCUAGUACGAGAGGACCGGAGUGGACGCAUCACUGGUGUUCGGGUUGUCAUGCCAAUGGCACUGCCCGGUAGCUAAAUGCGGAAGAGAUAAGUGCUGAAAGCAUCUAAGCACGAAACUUGCCCCGAG